rnacentral:rRNA from 1 species
AACGAACGCUGGCGGCGCGUCUUAAGCAUGCAAGUCGAACGGCAUGAGGAAGCUUGCUUCCUCAGAGAGUGGCGGACUGGUGAGUAACACGUGGGUGACCUACCCUUGAGAUGGGGAUAGCCGUUAGAAAUAGCGGAUAAUACCGAAUACGCUCUACGGACUCUGGUUUGUAGAGGAAACAGGCUACGGCCUGGCUCGAGGAUGGGCCCGCGUCCCAUUAGCUAGUUGGUGAGGUAAGAGCCCACCAAGGCGACGAUGGGUAUCCGGCCUGAGAGGGUGUACGGACACAUUGGGACUGAGAUACGGCCCAAACUCCUACGGGAGGCAGCAGCUAAGAAUAUUCCGCAAUGGACGAAAGUCUGACGGAGCGACGCCGCGUGGAUGACGAAGGCCGAAAGGUUGUAAAAUCCUUUUGCUGAUGAAGAAUAAGCGUGGUAGGGAAUGACCGCGUGAUGACAUUAGUCGGUGAAUAAGCCCCGGCUAACUACGUGCCAGCAGCCGAC